rnacentral:rRNA from 1 species
AGAGUUGAUCCUGGCUCAGGACGAACGCUGGCGGCACGCUUAACACAUGCAAGUCGAACGAGCGAAAGGUGCUUGCACCUCUAGCUAGUGGCGGACGGGUGAGUAACACGUGAGCAACCUGCCUUUCGGUGGGGGAUACCAAUUGGAAACGAUUGUUAAUACCCCAUAACAUAACGAAGCCGCAUGACUUUGUUAUCAAAGAUUUAUUGCCGGAAGAUGAGCUCGCGUCUGAUUAGGUAGUUGGUGAGGUAACGGCUCACCAAGCCGACGAUCAGUAGCCGGACUGAGAGGUUGAACGGCCACAUUGGGACUGAGACACGGCCCAGACUCCUACGGGAGGCAGCAGUGGGGAAUAUUGCACAAUGGGCGAAAGCCUGAUGCAGCGAUGCCGCGUGAGGGAAGAAGGUUUUAGGAUUGUAAACCUCUGUCUUCGGGGACGAUAAUGACGGUACCCGAGGAGGAAGCUCCGGCUAACUACGUGCCAGCCGCUGC